rnacentral:rRNA from 1 species
UACGUAGGGCGCAAGCGUUGUCCGGAAUUAUUGGGCGUAAAGAGCUCGUAGGCGGCUUGUCACGUCGGGUGUGAAAGCCCGGGGCUUAACCCUGGGCUGGCUUCCGAUACGGGCAGACUAGAGGUAUGCAGGGGAGAACGGAAUUCCUGGUGUAGCGGUGAAAUGCGCAGAUAUCAGGAGGAACACCGGUGGCGAAGGCGGUUCUCUGGGCAUUACCUGACGCUGAGGAGCGAAAGUGUGGGGAGCGAACAGG